rnacentral:lncRNA from 1 species
GGAAACUGAGUUUUGUUCUACGUAGUAAGCACCCAUCUUAACCCUGCUGGAGCAGAACAGCCCUUUUCCUAGCAGAAACCAGAGCUGUUGUUGAUUAAUGUCUUGCUGAAAACUAAGUCUUUGCCAUCUGUUCCGCCCCCUCACUACGAAUGCCACUCUCAUUAUGUUGAUUAUGUAAUUAAAAAUGAAAAUAUAUUUUGGUAAGAGUGCUGCAUAGGCAUCUGUGCUUAUUCUUCUGUUCCUGUUCACUGCCCCCUGCCCCCGUCCCAUACAGAAGGGAAAAGACAACAAUUGUUCCACUCGGCAGUGGCUUUAUAUUGAAGCUGUCGCACUGGCUGCCAGACUGGUGCACGUCAUGGGAGCAGCCACUCGAGCCCCGCUGUGUCUGAGCUGCGGCUCCUUCGGAAACCCCGGCUAUUAGGUUCAUGAGAAAUCCGUGGCAGGAAGCUGACCCUUAAACCAAGGCUCCUUUAAGUUCUUGUGAUGGGUUAACUUGAAUCCAGAACAUGAAAAGAGAAGAGAAAGAGGCCUGGCUACUUCAUAAGAGAUAGUGUGACCUCUGAGAUCAGCGAGGCUGCUCAUGUUACAAAUAUGGCCUGUCUAUCUAAGGACCGAGGAAGAGAAAGAGAGGAGGGGUAGCCUUCUUGUAAGUGGGUUAGAGCAAUUACUGAGGUCUCUUACAGCAAAUUAAGUCGUUAGUGUGAGUCACGUUCCCUUUUUUCCUCUCUGCUGCCAAGUUUUAAGCAGUAACCAGACAGGGAGGAAAAAAAGGGAAAAGCAACAAUGGAGAAGAGUUGAACUGAAACAACCCUUCAUUCAGGGUAUUGUUUGACAUUUUAGUUCUGAUUGUACAUAGAGAUAAAGGACCUAUAAAUAUCCUGUCUGCUGAAAUUCCUUAUAACAACAUCGCCUGUCAGCUGAACAAAUAGGUUAGGUUCUCUAAAUACUACCUAAUUACACAUGUAAAUACAAAUUACUGAUUGUAUCCCUGCACCGCGUGGAAUGAAGGCCUGAUCACUGGGAGGAACAUUAAUCUCCUGUUUUACUGAGAUGCCCCAGUCCCAGGAGAGCAAAUGGCACAUACAGCUAUUACUGCUGAAUUGGUGCAAGUUCCGAGAUCAGACUGAAGCAAGCAAGGAGAUAUUUAUCUGGCUGAUGAACGUAGAUGAAAGCCUCUUCUGACGCUUCUGAAAGUAUCUCAGCAUCUAGUUCUGUUUAACAAAUGGCUGGAAGCUUUUCUACUCUGCUUCAGAGCUUUUAAUGAAGCAUUGUGAUUCCCAUUGUGGUCGACUGUUUGACAGUUUUAUUAUUACUGGUAUGCAUAGCGUUUUUUAAUGUUUGACAGCUGGAGAAAGAAGUAUUUUGUGCAUUCAAAUUUUUAGUACAAAGCUGCUGUUUUCUAUUCUGCCUUUGCCUUUGUCUCUUAUUGCUGAUGCGAAUCAAUGAAAGACAGAACUGAUGAAAUUACAUUUGUUUACUUUUUACUUGAUAAUAAUAAGACACAGCCAGCCCUUUGUAAAAGACAGAAAUGGGGGAUGUGAAUGUUUCUACAGUAUUUCUGUGUGUUUUUUUUUUCUUAUAGCAUAAAGGCAUUUAUUUGUUUCUUAUGUCUUGAUUUAUAAGAUAAUGUGCACUUCCUAAUGUAUGUGGAAUAAGAAUGGAGCAAUGAAUGACAGUUAGCAAUGGAUUCCACUUGAAAAUCUCUUAGCUUGUUAUUUUUAUUAAUUCAACAGCAUAAACGCUCGUAGCACAUCACAAAACAAACACCAAGAUAGUUCUGUGAUUCACAGUAGGACUGCCUCUGAUCACUGCUGUAUAUUUGUAUGUAGCUACACAAAAAAGUCCAGUCCACUGGCUUUGGCUUUAUACACACGUGAUUGUUACCAGGCCCCAGCUUUGAUAUAUUGGUACAAUACUGGAAAGAAACAAGCUGCAGAAAUCAGAUAUCCAUGGUUGUUUUGGUGAGUAACGUGCAUGUCUUGUGGAUUGUGUAAUGCAUUUUUUGGGUUUUUUUUUUUUUUUUUUUGAAUGCUUGCCCUAAGACAGGAGGCCUACAUUUGUCUGCCUGCCUUGUGCAGCAUGCUUGUGUUUUUGCAUGUACGUUUCUAGAUGUCAAGAGCUGCAACAGAAAGGUUUUGGGAGGGAUAAAAAGCAGAAACAGGAGAGGAAGAUGAUGAGCAGAAGGGAGGUGGUAAGGGAGGCACUUACACAACUGCUCUCCUGAUGACUGUUUCCUGUGUUUUGGCCAGAAAGGAGAAAAGUGCAUCAAAGAAUGGCAAAGCCAACAGGUGUCUGAAGGCUCCUCAGCAGUGGAGCCAAAUUUCCCUGCUUCACAGGCAAAGCGAGACUCAAGAGUGCUAUCACAUGGCAGCUGAGCCAAACCUAAUGAAUUGCUAGUAUCAAAAAGGACAGCCCUACUGCUCUCUUUUUGUGCAGGUCUGGUGCUUGUCUGACCCUUUGAUGAAUUUAUGCAGCUCAAUAAACUUUAAGAAAAUGAAUUCAGCAAAAAAUAGCGAAGCUAUCAGUCCAGGAAGGGAGGAGGGGAGAUACUGUGAGAGUCAAACCUGGAACUGCAGUGGUGGGGAGAGGUAUGGAUGUCAGAUUUUUGCUGCAGAUUUGGGGUGUGCUGGAGGAUGCCCUGCUGCUACCCUAUACUUAACCUCCCUCUUCAUCUCCUAGGUUGUGCCUUCCCUCAGAAGAGGACACGCUGAAUACGGAGUGAUUAAGACAGAUGCCUGGACAGGUGAAGGGAGGUGUUCCAGCAGUGGCAGUGCACACAGCAGAGGAGGGAACAAAUUGCUGCAAGACUGCAGGAGCCCAGGAGGAUGUUGCCAUGGGCAUAUGUUUAUCCAAAUUGGGUUUUGAUAAGAAGACUGCAGCUGGAUCUUUAUUAUCUGAGACAAGUGGCGAUAUUAGCUGUUCAGAGUUCAUGAUGGAAAUGUAUCUGCAUACUGGCGUGCAUCCAGCUGCACUUCACAAAGGUAAGUGGGACAUGAGAGUGCUGCAUUGCUCUUCUUUAACCCAUUUGCUGUAGAAGGGGGUACUGUGCCUCUCUGCAGGAAAGGCUGGUGGAACUACUGUGCUAAUAAACACACAUUUCUUGCUGCAGCAUAUGGGCUUCCCAGAUUCAUAAACCCAAGCAAUUCAUAGAUGAAUUACAAUUAAAUAUCCACACACACUUCCGUACUGCAGCCUAACAUGAGAGGCAUAGGCCUAAGUGUCUGGGCAUCUGCUGUCUGCUCUCCUGCACACACUGCUUGGCAGAGCACAGCCCCUUAAUCUUACUCCACCUCCAUUAAUUGUACCUUCAAAAUCAGAUGCACAGUGUCAUUCUAUAGAUGUUUUGCCAUGUUCUUCCAAGAGCAGCAUUCUCUCCUGCUCUCUCUUUUCCCUUUCCUUCUUCUUCCUUUUAUUUAUUUAUUGGACUGGAUGAUCCUGUGGGUCUUUUCCAACCUUAGCGAUUCUAUGAUUCUAUGAUUUGUUUGUUUGUUUGUUUGUUUAUUUAAGCAGCCCUUAUUGUCAAAUAGUCAGAAAUACUUUCAUUGCUGCUGGUCUUUUUGCCAAAAGAUUUCCAGGCCAAAGGUUCACUUGGGCUCUGAUAAUGACAGUGGGAAAUGAGGGCACCGAUGGAUCCCCACAACAAUUUUGUGUCACUUGUACAAGACCCAUAGGCUCAGUACUGUAGUAAGAUAAUGUAGCACUUGAUUACAAUGGAUGUAUUGCACUUACAGAAGGCAUCUUGUCGUGGGGCUCUGCAUAUCUGAAGUAAUAACCGCUGAUGUCAGAAUAACUCUGGCUCAAUACUUGCAUCAUCCAUAGCUUGUUUACAGAAUUGGAAGUCUUGAGCAAAGCGAAGCUGACUCGUGGAGAAGCUGGUUUUCAAAAGAUACAAGCUCCAGAUAACUAAGGACAAGUGAAGCACACAACAAUAUAGAAAUCACUCGGUUUUACUGCAGCCAACUGAGACAAAGUGUGCUUUGAAGCUGGGAAAUUUCCAUUACUGAAGUGCAGGACAGUGCCUGGAUACUGCUGCUACUGCAGCUGAGAAAUAAAAGCAACUUAAUUUUACAUAGCAGCAAAAUGUCAGUAUGUUAAUUACAACUGUUAGAGUUUUAUAAGAUUUUAAGGAUGCCGUAAAAUGGAUUCCUUCUAAAAUAUUUAGGAUAUAAUUGUAAAUGACUUCUCUAAAACUAAGGAGCAUUAAAAGGACUUGAAAUUGUACCUAAGUUUUCAAGCUGUAUCAUAUUUGUGAACAUCAGAUCUGACAAGAACAUGACACGACAUCCCCUACGACAGUGACAGUGUGACAGCGGCAGAACGACAUCCAGUGUGAGUCCAAGGUUGUUACGGACAGCGUAGUUCUGCAGUUAAGGACUGUUUUUGCUCUCCGUGGGGUGCUCAAAACAAAUAUAGCUAUCUGUUCACCACUUUUAAGUCCAUAAUCUAUAAACCACCAUAAGCUUCCUGUAAAGUCAGUCAGAAUGCUGAGC